rnacentral:rRNA from 1 species
GACGAACGCUGGCGGCGUGCUUAACACGUGCAAGUCGAGCGGUAAGGCCCUUUCGGGGGUACACGAGCGGCGAACGGGUGAGUAACACGUGGGUGACCUGCCCUCAGCUCUGGGAUAAGCCCGGGAAACUGGGUCUAAUACCGGAUAUGACUCCAUGACGCAUGUUGUGGGGUGGAAAGCCUUGUGCGGCUGAGGAUGGGCCCGCGGCCUAUCAGCUUGUUGGUGGGGUGAUGGCCACCAAGGCGACGACGGGUAGCCGGCCUGAGAGGGCGACCGGCCACACUGGGACUGAGAUACGGCCCAGACUCCUACGGGAGGCAGCAGUGGGGAAUCUUGCGCAAUGGGCGAAAGCCUGACGCAGCGACGCCGCGUGAGGGAUGACGGCCU